rnacentral:rRNA from 1 species
UACGGGGGGGGCAAGCGCUGUUCGGAAUUACUGGGCGUAAAGGGCUCGUAGGCGGCCAACUAAGUCAGACGUGAAAUCCCUCGGCUUAACCGGGGAACUGCGUCUGAUACUGGAUGGCUAGAGGUUGGGAGAGGGAUGCGGAAUUCCAGGUGUAGCGGUGAAAUGCGUAGAUAUCUGGAGGAACACCGGUGGCGAAGGCGGCAUCCUGGACCAAUUCUGACGCUGAGGAGCGAAAGCCAGGGGAGCAAACGGG